rnacentral:rRNA from 1 species
AGAGUUUGAUCCUGGCUCAGAACGAACGCUGGCGGCAGGCCUAACACAUGCAAGUCGAGCGCCCCCUUUCAGAUUUCAGAUGGCAGACGUCGGAUGUCAGAAGCGCUGUGCGGUAGUCCCGCGCGGUGGUUUUUCUGACGUCUGAUAUCUGAUGUCUGACAUCUGAUGGGGGAGCGGCGGACGGGUGAGUAACGCGUGGGAAUUUUCCUCAAGGUAGGGAACAACUCAGGGAAACUUGGGCUAAUACCCUAUGAUGCAGAGAUGCCAAAGAUUUAUCGCCUUGGGAUAAGCCCGCGUCAGAUUAGGUAGUUGGUGGGGUAACGGCCUACCAAGCCUGCGAUCUGUAGCUGGUCUGAGAGGACGAUCAGCCACAUUGGGACUGAGACACGGCCCAAACUCCUACGGGAGGCAGCAGUGGGGAAUCUUGCGCAAUGGGCGAAAGCCUGACGCAGCCAUGCCGCGUGAAUGAUGAAGGUCUUAGGAUUGUAAAGUUCUUUCGCCCGUGACGAUGAUGACGGUAACGGGAGAAGAAGCCCCGGCUAACUUCGUGCCAGCAGCCGCGGUAAUACGAAGGGGGCUAGCGUUGUUCGGAAUUACUGGGCGUAAAGCGCGCGUAGGCGGUUUUGCAAGCCAGAGGUGAAAUGCCUGAGCUCAACUUAGGAAUUGCCUUUGGGACUGCGAGGCUUUGAGGACGGAAGAGGUGAGUGGAAUUCCCAGUGUAGAGGUGAAAUUCGUAGAUAUUGGGAAGAACACCGGUGGCGAAGGCGGCUCACUGGUCCGUUUCUGACGCUGUAGCGCGAAAGCGUGGGGAUCAAACAGGAUUAGAUACCCUGGUAGUCCACGCUGUAAACGAUGAGUGCUAGGCGUCGGCACGCUUGCGUGUCGGUGCCGCAGCUAACGCGUGAAGCACUCCGCCUGGGGAGUACGGUCGCAAGAUUAAAACUCAAAGGAAUUGACGG